AAGUCGUAACAAGGUAACCGUAGGUGAACCUGCGGUUGGAUCAUUAAUGAAUUAUGGCUCAACGUGUAGUUGGGUCUAAUUAGGGGUGAGACUCUGAAGGUUGAAAAACUUGACGAGUUUCCCUCGCUUACCCAUGUGAACUGUUUUAGACUGGGACUGAAUUUAUUCAGAACCUAUCUUUAACUACUUUUAACAUAAAGUCAUUAGAAACUAGUCUUAAUUACAACAACUUAAUGUUGAAACAACUUUUGACAACGGAUCUCUUGGCUCUC
rnacentral:misc_RNA from 1 species